rnacentral:misc_RNA from 1 species
UCUCCGUUGGUGAACCAGCGGAGGGAUCAUUACAGGACUCGCAAGACUCCUACAACCCUGUGAACUUAACUAUAAGCACGUUGCUUCGGCGGGUGUCUCGGAGGGGGUUCUCCCUCCCCGAGACGCUAAACCCGCCGGCAGCCUACUAUACUCUGUCUCUUUGUGUUGGCAUCUCGAGUACAAUCAAACAAGUUAAAACUUUCAACAACGGAUCUCUUGGUUCUG